rnacentral:misc_RNA from 1 species
GAAAGGAACCCAUUUCCUUGCAAACUCUGCUGUUUCAGAUAGGGCUUCAAACGUCAACAUGGCAGCACCAUCAUCAGACACAUAACAGGACACCUUAUCAACAGGAUAGUCAACUGCAAGAAUGGACAGGACAGUAUUUGCUGUAACAAGAGGAGGCUCCUUCAGAGGAUCCACAGUACUAACAAAUAUGUCAACAGCAGCUAAUUGUGAU